rnacentral:misc_RNA from 1 species
UGGUUCUGGCAUCGAUGAAGAACGCAGCGAAAUGCGAUAAGUAAUGUGAAUUGCAGAAUUUAGUGAAUCAUCGAAUCUUUGAACGCACAUUGCGCCUACCAGUAUUCUGGUAGGCAUGCCUAUUCGAGCGUCAUUUCAACCACCUUAAGCAAUGCUUAGUGUUGGGAAUUUACGUGAGCGCGUAAUUCCUUAAAGAUAUCGGCAGGGUUUGGGUAAGCUCUUAGCGUAGUAAAAAUCUUUUUAUCACCGCUAUGGUAGCUGCCUUAAGUUUCUGGCCGGAAGCCCUAUAAUUUGUUUUUUAAAACAAACUGGUUGACCUCGGAUUAGGUAGGAAUACCCGCUGA